CCUACGCGUGGCAGCAGUGGGGGAUAUUGCACAAUGGGGGGAACCCUGAUGCAGCGACGCCGCGUGGGUGAAGGAGUGCUUCGGCAUGUAAAGCCCUAUCGGCAGGUAAGAAGCAAGACGGUACCUGACUAAGAAGCACCGGCUAAACACGUGCCAGCAGCCGCGGUAAUACGUAGGGGGCGAGCGUUAUCCGGAUUCACUGGGUGGAAAGGGAGCGUAGACGGCCAUGCAAGCAAGGGGUGAAAGCCCGGGGCACAACCCCGGGACUGCCCUUGGGACUGUGCGGGUAGAGGGAGGGAGGGGCAGGUGGAAUUCCUGGUGUAGCGGUGAAAUGCGUAGAUAUCAGGAGGAACACCGGCGGCGAAGGCGGCCUGCUGGACCGCGACUGACGUUGAGGCUCGAAAGCGUGGGGAGCGAACAGGAUUAGAUACCCGUGUAGUC
rnacentral:rRNA from 1 species